AAUAGAUACCCAGGUAGUCCACGCCGUAAACGAUGAGUGCUAAGUGUUAGAGGGUUUCCGCCCUUUAGUGCUGCAGCUAACGCAUUAAGCACUCCGCCUGGGGAGUACGGUCGCAAGACUGAAACUCAAAGGAAUUGACGGGGGCCCGCACAAGCGGUGGAGCAUGUGGUUUAAUUCGAAGCAACGCGAAGAACCUUACCAGGUCUUGACAUCCUCUGACAACCCUAGAGAUAGGGCUUCUCCUUCGGGAGCAAAGUGACAGGUGGUACAUGGUUGUCGUCAGCUCGUGUCGUGAGAUGUUGGGUUAAGUCCCGCAACGAGCGCAACCCUUGAUCUUAGUUGCCAUCAUUAAGUUGGGCACUCUAAGGUGACUGCCGGUGACAAACCGGAGGAAGGUGGGGAUGACGUCAAAUCAUCAUGCCCCUUAUGACCUGGGCUACACACGUGCUACAAUGGACGGUACAAAGAGCUGCAAGACCGCGAGGUGGAGCUAAUCUCAUAAAACCGUUCUCAGUUCGGA
rnacentral:rRNA from 1 species